UGUGGCUGCAGGUGUGGCUGCAGGUGUGACUGCUGUGCCACAGGUGUGUCACUAGAUGUCAGAGAGGAGAGAGGCUAUAUCUACGUUGAGUGUUCUCACCUAUGACCAUCUGAAUGAUUAGUAGCCUAACAAU